rnacentral:sRNA from 2 species
AUGGCUGUCGUCAGCUCGUGUCGUGAGAUGUUGGGUUAAGUCCCGCAACGAGCGCAACCCUCGUCCUUAGUUGCCAUCAUUUAGUUGGGCACUCUAGGGAGACUGCCGGUGAUAAGCCGCGAGGAAGGUGGGGAUGACGUCAAGUCCUCAUGGCCCUUACAGGCUGGGCUACACACGUGCUACAAUGGCGGUGACAAUGGGAUGCCAAGGGGCGACCCUGAGCAAAUCUCAAAAAGCCGUCUCAGUUCGGAUUGUACUCUGCAACUCGAGUGCAUGAAGUUGGAAUCGCUAGUAAUCGUAGAUCAGAACGCUACGGUGAAUACGUUCCCGGGCCUUGUACACACCGCCCGUCACACCAUGGGAGUUGGUUUUACCCGAAGGCGUUUCGCUAACCGCAAGGAGGCAGACGACCACGGUAGGGUCAGCGACUGGGGUGAAGUCGUAACAAGGUAGCCGUAGGGGAACCUGCGGCUGGAUCACCUCCUUUCUAAGGAUGAUCCUUCAGUGUUUUGGCAUCCGCCAAAAACCUAUCGGAUCUCUUGGAAUAUAACGGCCAGUCAGGCCGAUCAUGCGGGAUCACCGCCGUCUUCGUUUCUCUUUCUUCCCAGGACGAGCCAGCCGGCUCUUUGUAGUCGGCAGCGUGCGGCUCGGGCUUGUAGCUCAGUUGGUUAGAGCGCGCGCUUGAUAAGCGUGAGGUCGGAAGUUCGAGUCUUCCCAGGCCCACCAUUCUGCGUGCUCUGUACCGCUCGGGGCCAUAGCUCAGUUGGGAGAGCGCGUGCUUUGCAAGCAUGAGGUCGUCGGUUCGAUCCCGUCUGGCUCCACCAGGCGGUUGAUCCCGCGGCCCGCUUUGGUUCGUCCACAUAACAUUUGCGUUUGCCUUCGGGCGAGCGCCGAGAGUUUUCUGACAUCGUAAAGAGGAAAUACAUCCGACUUCCGCAAGGAACGUCAGAUCAUGGCUUCGGCUGUGGUUGCGACGCCUUUCGGUUGGCAUCACCAGCAAGUGGGCGCGGCUUGACCACGGCGUCCUCGGAUGUGUUUGAAGCAAACUGGUCUUUCUAUCGAUUCCAAAGGCGGAUCCAGAACGGAUUGGCCGGCCGCUGCCGAGCGGUGGACAUCGAUAAUGAGAGCGAUCAAGUGUCUUAAGGGUAUCCGGUGGAUGCCUUGGCGCUGAGAGGCGAUGAAGGACGUGGUACGCUGCGAUAAGCCGUGGGGAGGUGCGAACAACCUUUGAUCCGCGGAUUUCCGAAUGGGGAAACCCGG